rnacentral:rRNA from 1 species
ACUCCUACGGGAGGCAGCAGUAGGGAAUCUUCCACAAUGGGCGCAAGCCUGAUGGAGCAACACCGCGUGAGUGAAGAAGGGUUUCGGCUCGUAAAGCUCUGUUGUUAAAGAAGAACACGUAUGAGAGUAACUGUUCAUACAUUGACGGUAUUUAACCAGAAAGUCACGGCUAACUACGUGCCAGCAGCCGCGGUAAUACGUAGGUGGCAAGCGUUAUCCGGAUUUAUUGGGCGUAAAGAGAGUGCAGGCGGUUUUCUAAGUCUGAUGUGAAAGCCUUCGGCUUAACCGGAAAAGUGCAUCGGAAACUGGAUAACUUGAGUGCAGAAGAGGGUAGUGGAACUCCAUGUGUAGCGGUGGAAUGCGUAGAUAUAUGGAAGAACACCAGUGGCGAAGGCGGCUACCUGGUCUGCAACUGACGCUGAGACUCGGAAGCAUGGGUAGCGAACAGGAUUAGAUACCCCUGGUAGGAUAGCG